rnacentral:rRNA from 1 species
UACGGAGGGUGCAAGCGUUAUCCGGAAUCACUGGGUUUAAAGGGUGCGUAGGCGGUUUGAUAAGUCAGUUGUGAAAUUCCCCGGCUUAACCGGGCGGACUGCGAUUGAUACUGUUAGACUUGAAUCAGGUUGAGGUAGGCGGAAUGUGACAUGUAGCGGUGAAAUGCUUAGAUAUGACAUAGAACACCAAUUGCGAAGGCAGCUUACUACACAAAUAUUGACGCUGAGGCACGAAAGCGUGGGGAUCAAACAGG